rnacentral:tRNA from 1 species
GGGAAGGUGGCUCAGUGGUAGAGCACUUGCCUUGCAUGCCUGAGGCCCUGGGUUCGAU